CAAUAGCGUAUAUUAAAGUUGUUGCGGUUAAAAAGCUCGUAGUUGGAUUUCUGCUGAGAACGACCGGUCCGCCCUCUGGGUGUGUAUCUGGCUCUUUCUUGGCAUCUUCUUGGUGAACGUUGCUGCACUUGACUGUGUGGAGCGCUACCCAGGACUUUUACUUUGAGGAAAUUAGAGUGUUUCAAGCAGGCAUACGCCUUGAAUACAUUAGCAUGGAAUAAUAAGAUAGGACCUCGGUUCUAUUUUGUUGGUUUCUAGAGCUGAGGUAAUGAUUAAUAGGGAUAGUUGGGGGCAUUCGUAUUUAACUGUCAGAGGUGAAAUUCUUGGAUUUGUUAAAGACGGGCUACUGCGAAAGCAUUUGCCAAGGAUGUUUUCUUUAA
rnacentral:rRNA from 1 species